CUGUUUAGUUGUAUUUCCCAAUAAAACUGCAGCAAAUUCCAAGACUUCCGUUUCCGGUCUUCUCGAGAGAGAUGAUUCAGAAUUGUGGAUCCUUGUUUGUUCAAUGGAGGCCAUGUCACGUGCGAACAGUAUGCUUGGGUUCUCCGUCUACAGCUGGUAUUAAAACAGAGCAGCUUCGACAGCAACUCGAUAUUCUUCACAAAGAAGCUGAAAGCACAAGAGCCAAAGCAAACAACGUAAGAUUGAGGCUGUUGCGGUUGUCUGAAGCAGCAGAGAAGCUUCGACGACAAGCGUCCAUUAGUGUUCAAACUGGAGAGGAAAAUGAUGCGCGGGAGUUGCUUUUUCAAAAGAAGAAGGUUAUGCAAGCCAUGGAGAAAUCAAAGGGUCGGAUUGAAGUUCUUGAUGAGUUUGCAGUGAAACUCAAUGAGGCAAUAUCAAUAAAGGAAGGUCAACUGAUUGGAAAUGUUGCUUUAGAUCUUGAAGUUGGUGGGGAAGAUGGCCCUAGUCCCAUUCGAAUUGUAUCUUCUAAAGGGGAAAACACGAGCAUGUCAAAUGAAAAUCUAGACUUGGAAUCAGAUCCCCCAAAAUAUGUACAGAAUCAAGACCCACUAGUUGUUUCUGCAAGUCAAGGGGAGCUUUAUGCUGAGAAGAUUGAGAACAAUCAUGAGGAAUCUAUCAAUCGUAAUGUGCAGAAUGAAGUUAACAAUGAACAAAAUGUAAAGGAAAUAACCUCAUAUGAGGACUUCAUGUGUCACCUGGAUCAACAGCUAAACAAAAUGCAAAUGGAACUUCAAACAUUUUUGAGGUUUUCAGCCUUAAUACUAGAAAGCGAGGAAAAGCCUGAAAAUUGUAAGGUCCAUCAUGCCAUGGAGAUUCUUGAGGGUAUUCGUCAUGUUAGAGAAAGAAUUGCAAACAUCGCACAGACAAAAGUGUCAUUCGAGUAAAUUUCCUUCAGCAGGUGAUAUGAUGAAGAAGGAAAACUACAUUUUAUAUCUGGAUUCACAGUUCUGCAUUGGAAAAUUUAAUACGUACAUAAAAUGAAAAGAUUAAUAUAACUGGGCGGAUGGAGUUCUUGCUUCUUCAAGGUCACGUGUCACACAGUUCACUGUUUGCAUAUUCAGCUCGAAAUUGGAAUCCAUCGUCCUUAGCGUGGGAUCAGCAAUAACAAGUUACCCACAAUUGCUGCAACUCCCAUUUCCUUGGGAUUGUAUGUGUAAUCACAUUUAUACAUUUAAUAGUGAUAUGUGGGAUGACAAAAUUCUCCGCUACUCCGACAUUGCCCCCAACCUGAAAGGGACGGGGAACCGUCCCACCCCCAAAUUCCACAAAUUUGCCCCAUUUCUUUUAAUUAGAUUGUGUUUUGUUUAA